GUUGAUAUAAACCCGCUCUGUGCCGCCCUGAUGGGACACCCACUCCAGGCGGGACGGCUGCUGGCCGGGGCGCGUGGCCGUGGGCGGCUGCGGGGCGUCGGUGGCCGCGUGCGCGCGCUCCGCCCUGCGACUCUGCACACCAACUACCUCCCACCUCCACCUUGUCCUGCAGCCUCCCUCAUCCAGACCCGACCGCCCCAGCUCCCCGAGCCCACAGAGGGGCCCACGGAACCUCGGGAGGUGUCCCGAUCAUUAAUUCACCAGCAGAGCGUGUGGGCGGCAUGAAUUAUUUGAGGGACUUACACUUUGUCAGUGAAGGCUGGCUGUGGGGCCUUGCGGGCCGAGUGGAUCACGAUGAUGAAGACCGUGAUGAGGAAGAGAGCGAGGACUGCGCCCAUCACCGCUCCGGCCACGGCGAUGGAGUUGGACCUCUCGGCCUGGGACUGGUCUGAGACAGAGACACUUUUAGUUGAGAACACACCGGGAGAAAUCCGCUGAUAGACAAAGCUAAUGUUCAGGCUCUAUGGCAACAUAUGUAUAUGAAUUCAAAGUCAUUCUUUUAACUAGGUCACAAAGAACCCAUUCAAAUGCUGCCCCCUAGAGGCCAGUGAUGUAACUGCAGCCAUUUUUCUUGCAGAGGUCAACGCAUGUCCAUUUACAAAAAAGGGAGAUUUGAUGAGUUUGGUACAUUUGGUUCUGAAGAGUCCAAAAUGUCACGAAAUGCUUCACACAAAAAAAACCCAGAAGUCAAGAGUUUUAUUGAAAAUGUAUUUAAUUUGUUCUGCUGCAGCGACAACCUUUCGUGAGCUUCAGCUGGUGGACAGUCACCUUGACAUUAUCCUGUAGGAUACUUAAUAAAAUGUGGAAUUCAUUUUCUUCUCUGUGGUGGCAAACUCUCCCGGUCAUGACUCUGAAUGUCCCGUCUAAGUCUCCACACAGUUGUCUGUGUUCUGGCUUCUAAAAGCUGUUGUAAUGUCCGUUGUAUUAGCUCAGUUGGACCAUAUGCUUGCAUAUGCUGUGCUGUCCACGGGUGGGGAUUAGGAUUAAUUGUGAUUAAGAUGCAUUAAACUCGCAGAGCAGCAGGCGCCGGUCCAUCAGCGGUAAUGUGUAUCGCGGCGAUUGUGGCACCCUGAACGAACUGGAGGACAAAAGGUGAAGUGGGAUGGAAGGCAAAAAAAAAAAAAAAAAAGAGAA